UCCAGACUCCUACGGGAGGCAGCAGUGGGGAAUCUUCCGCAAUGGGCGAAAGCCUGACGGAGCAACGCCGCGUGAUCGAAUGAAGGCCUUCGGGUUGUAAGGAUCUGUUGACAGGGACGAAUAAGCAAUGCGAAUAGUUUUGUGUAUGACGGUACCUGAGGAAUAAGCCACGGCUAACUACGUGCCAGCAGCCGCGGUAAUACGUAGGUGGCAAGCGUUAUCCGGAUUUACUGGGCGUAAAGGGAGCGCAGACGGCAGUGCAAGUCUGGAGUGAAAGCCCGGGGCCCAACCCCGGAACUGCUCUGGAAACUGUGCGGCUAGAGUACUGGAGGGGCAGGCGGAAUUCCUAGUGUAGCGGUGAAAUGCGUAGAUAUUAGGAGGAACACCAGUGGCGAAGGCGGCCUGCUGGACAGUAACUGACGUUGAGGCUCGAAAGCGUGGGGAGCAAACAGGAUUAGAUACCCCUGUA
rnacentral:rRNA from 1 species